rnacentral:rRNA from 1 species
GACGAACGCUGGCGGCGUGCUUAACACAUGCAAGUCGAACGGAAAGGCCCUGCUUUUGUGGGGUGCUCGAGUGGCGAACGGGUGAGUAACACGUGAGUAACCUGCCCUUGACUUUGGGAUAACUUCUGGAAACUGGGGCUAAUACCGGAUAGGAGCUCCUGCUGCAUGGUGGGGGUUGGAAAGUUUCGGCGGUUGGGGAUGGAAUCGCGGCUUAUCAGCUUGUUGGUGGGGUAGUGGCUUACCAAGGCUUUGACGGGUAGCCGGCCUGAGAGGGUGACCGGCCACAUUGGGACUGAGAUACGGCCCAGACUCCUACGGGAGGCAGCAGUGGGGAAUAUUGCACAAUGGGCCGAAGCCUGAUGCAGCAACGCCGCGUGCGGGAUGACGGCCUUCAGGUUGUAAACCGCUUUCGCCUGUGACGAAGCGUGAGUGACGGUAAUAGGUAAAGAAGCACCGGCUAACUACGU